GGCAGAGGCAUGCGGUGGUGGCAGAAGGCAGGUGACGGCAGUGGGGCAGUUGACCAGAAGACCUAGGUGCGGCGCACCUAGGGUUUGAAAAUUCUUUGUUUUUUUUUUUUUUUUGUUAUGGGUUUGGGCCAUUAAGGUUUAGAUAAUUGGGCCUGUGAAUUUGGGCUUGUAGUUGGGUUCUAUUUGGGUUUGUAAUAUUUGGACUAUUUUGCUGUUUGGGUUUUGCCCUGGGCAAAUUUGGGCUUAUACAUAUA
rnacentral:lncRNA from 1 species